rnacentral:rRNA from 1 species
AAUUUUCAGCGAUGGAUGUCUUGGCUCGCGCAACGAUGAAGGACGCAGUGAAAUGCGAAACGCAAUGUGAAUUGCAGAAUUCCAGUGAAUCAUCA